AGGUUCUAGUGUCGGAGUUGGGUGCAGGCAGGUGCCAUGGGCCCGCUUGAGGCACACUGAGGGGACGCGGGGCUGGGCCAUGGCCGGCGCUCGGGCCGCCGCCGCCGCUGCCUCGGCGGGGUCCUCGGCCUCUUCAGGCAACCAGCCGCCUCAGGAGCUGGGGCUUGGGGAGCUGCUGGAGGAGUUCUCCCGGACUCAGUACCGGGCCAAGGAUGGCAGCGGGACCGGCGGCUCUAAGGUUGAGCGCAUUGAGAAGAGAUGUCUGGAGCUGUUUGGCCGAGACUACUGUUUCAGCGUGAUUCCAAACACGAAUGGGGAUAUCUGUGGCCACUAUCCCCGGCACAUCGUGUUCCUGGAGUAUGAGAGUUCUGAGAAGGAGAAAGACACGUUUGAGAGUACCGUACAGGUGAGCAAGUUGCAAGACCUCAUCCACCGCAGCAAGAUGGCCCGGUGCAGAGGACGGUUUGUCUGCCCAGUAAUCCUGUUCAAGGGCAAGCACAUUUGCAGGUCGGCCACACUGGCUGGAUGGGGAGAGCUGUAUGGACGCUCAGGCUACAACUAUUUUUUCUCAGGGGGUGCAGAUGAUGCCUGGGCAGAUGUGGAGGACGUCACGGAGGAGGACUGUGCUCUUCGAAGUGGUGACACGCAUCUUUUUGAUAAGGUCAGAGGCUAUGACAUCAAGCUGCUUCGAUACCUGUCAGUCAAAUACAUCUGUGACCUGAUGGUGGAGAACAAGAAGGUGAAGUUUGGCAUGAAUGUAACCUCCUCUGAGAAGGUGGACAAAGCCCAGCGCUAUGCCGACUUCACUCUCCUCUCCAUCCCGUAUCCAGGCUGUGAAUUUUUCAAGGAAUAUAAAGAUCGGGAUUACAUGGCAGAAGGGCUCAUAUUUAACUGGAAGCAGGACUACGUUGAUGCCCCAUUGAGCAUCCCCGACUUCCUGACUCACUCUCUGAACAUUGACUGGAGCCAGUAUCAGUGUUGGGAUCUGGUGCAACAAACACAAAACUACCUGAAGCUGCUGCUUUCCUUAGUUAACAGUGAUGAUGACAGCGGGCUGCUGGUACACUGUAUCUCAGGCUGGGAUCGGACCCCCCUCUUCAUCUCCCUCCUGCGCCUUUCCUUGUGGGCUGAUGGGCUCAUCCACACGUCCCUGAAGCCCACUGAGAUCCUCUACCUCACUGUGGCCUAUGACUGGUUCCUCUUCGGGCACAUGUUGGUAGAUCGGCUCAGCAAAGGGGAGGAGAUUUUCUUCUUCUGCUUCAAUUUUUUGAAGCAUAUUACCUCCGAGGAGUUCUCUGCUCUGAAGACCCAGAGGAGGAAGAGUUUGCCAGCCCGGGAUGGAGGCUUCACCCUGGAAGACAUCUGCAUGCUGAGACGAAAGGACCGUGGCAGCACCACCAGCCUUGGCAGCGACUUCUCCCUGGUCAUGGAGAGUUCCCCAGGAGCCACUGGGAGCUUCACCUAUGAGGCCGUGGAGCUGGUCCCAGCAGGAGCGCCAACUCAGGCAGCUUGGAGGAAGAGCCACUCAUCCUCUCCACAGAGUGUCCUCUGGAACCGGCCACAACCCUCAGAGGACCGCUUGCCUUCCCAGCAGGGGCUGGCGGAAGCCAGGUCUUCCAGCUCCUCUUCCUCAAACCAUUCUGAUAACUUUUUCAGGAUGGGUAGCAGUCCCCUGGAGGUCCCCAAACCCAGAUCAGUGGACCAUCCCCUGCCCGGAUCCUCUCUCUCCACAGACUAUGGCAGCUGGCAGAUGGUAACGGGCUGUGGCAGUAUUCAGGAGCGGGCUGUCCUGCACACAGACUCCUCUCUCCCUUUCAGCUUCCCGGAUGAGCUCCCUAACAGUUGUCUGUAAGUGUCUUGCUUGAGAAGGCAGGAUGCUCCCCUGCCCAUGGGAAAAGCUGGUGAGCAGUCAGGAGUGCUGGGUAGGAAUGAGGCUGGCGCUCAGGAGCUGGCCUGGCCUCCUGCCCUCCCCUCUCUCAGCUGCUGGACCCGAGGUAUGAAGGAGGCCUGUGGCUGGUCAGGAAGUGCACUGGUUUGUGUGUUCACUCUGCAGCCUCUAAAACCCAUCCACUGGUGUCUCAGGUGCACCCAAAGGGAAAGCUGCUGGACUGUAACUAUAGAAGAUUCUAUUUCUGUAUAAGCCUUUGCCUGACAUGAGAAUCGUUUGAAGGCAGAACAGUGGGAUAGUGAAGGAAUAAGAAUUGGAUGGGGAUUCUAGAUCCCACACCUACAAAACCCUGAGUUUCCAGCCCUUAACAGUGUGUCCACCUGACUGGAGCAGCUGCCUCUGGGGAAACCACCUGCCCCUGGCCUGUUCUGCCGCUUCAUGGAUGUCAGGCAGGAGAAAGCCUCUGGUGGCCAGGGGAGCAAGCCCUGCUCCUCAGCUGUGGUGCCUGAGGGCCUCUCAGCAAGCCUUCCAUACCAUGGGCUGGAUGAAUGGCACAUGCUGGGGCCUUACCACCAGCACCGCAAUCCAGCUCAUCCCCCCACCCCUGUUGGCAGGUGGGAGGCAGGGUGCCUUGGGGAGUUGGGAAGGGAAAGGGGGCCCUGGAUCCUAGCUGAGGGCAGUCAGGAGCCAGUCAGACCUUGAAAUUCCAGGAUGGCACAGGUCCUGGCUCUGCAGCUGUGAAGUCAUCAAAGAGCUUCUGAGGUCACUGUGCCUGGCACAGCCUCCUCUGCAGCCAGCCCCUAGGCUAGAAACAAGAUCUUAGAUGUUCGAAGGCUUAAAAAAAAAAAAAUUGCAGGCCGGGCAUGGUGGCUCACGCCUGUAGUCCCAGCACUUAGGGAGGCCGAGGCGGGCGGAUCACCUAAGGUUGGGAGUUCGAGACCAACCUGACCAACAUGGAGAAACCCCGUCUCUACUAAAAAUACAAAAUUAGCUGGGCGAGGUGGUGAAUGCCUAUUAGUAAUCCCAGCUACUCGGGAGGCUGAGGCAGGAGAAUCGUUUGAACCUGGGAAGCGGAGGUUGCCGUGAGUCGAGAUCAUGCCAUUGCACUCCAGCCUGGGCAACAAGAGCGAAACUCUCUCAAAAAAAAAAAAAAAAAAUUGCACCUUUCUGUAAAGACUUCCUACUCCAGCCCCAUUUGCCCAAGAGCCAUCUCUGAAGGAAGCACAGAUAUCCCUGCUUGAUAGCACUCCUCACUUACCUGGGGUUAGCCACUGAAACAGGCAACUCCAGCCCCAGAUCACCCACCCUAGAACCUACAAUUUAGGCCCCAGGCAGCACUCUAAGCUGCUAGCCAAGCCUUUAGUUCUGGGAGGUUCUCAGAGGAGGGCUGGAUUCCGUAUGAUCUGAAGGCCUGCAAGACUGUGGGAUGUGGUCAGAGUUGAUUCCUGUGAAGCCGUGCAGCAUGUGGGUUCAGCACUUGGGCUUUGUUAUCAGAAAAACUUAAGGCCAAAUCCUAGCUGCUCUAUUCACCAGCUGUAUCUUCAAGUGUCAGCCUUGCCUUUUCUGAGCCUGUUAGCUCAUCUCUCAAGAAGGAAUGGCACUGUAGUACCUCCCUUGCCUGGUGUGUGUCCUUAAAUGGGUCACAUAACCUCUCCUCUUUUCUCAUCUCUCAGUAGGUGGUGGUCUCUGUCCCUUUCACCUCUCAGAAAUGGGCAGCCAUGUCAGGGGGGUGGGGCAGGGCAGUGAGAAUGCUCAUGUAUGGAUCUUUGGAUGUUCCCUGUGAGUGUAAACUCUUGGUCUGUUUCUCCCUCGUAUGCUAUAAGGAGAAGCUAAGGCAAGCAUGCAUGGCCUUUGGCCUGUGUGAAAUUAGAAAGUAAAAAGAUCUCAGGCCAUGCUUCUUCCCCAGUUGCCAGGAGAGACUUCAGGAUUGUUGAUGGUAGUACAGGAAUCCAGUCUCAGCUCCAUGUUCUUAGUGCUGCUGCAGGAGUGAUUUGACUUUUCUUUGCCCCAGAGCCUACUGCUUCCAUCUCUCACAUUUCACUCCCACCGAUCUGCUUUCCCUAGAGUCCUGUCUAUCUCCCCCCAUACUUACCUCAGGACUGUCAUUUAUCCUCAGACAUCCCUCUGCUCCCACAAGCCCUGGGUACAAGUCAUUGAGCCGUUGGGAUUGGGUUCACUUCAGCUGCCUCUGACAGAUUUCCAGGGAGGGACUGUCCAGGGAUUGGUUUCUUGAGGGCAGAUUUGGAGCAAGAUUAGUAGGCAUGGAUGGUCUUAGUAUUUAGGUGUAUGGGAAUGUGAGGGCUCUUCUCAUGUAAGUCUGUGACCCCUAGAGAGGGCCCUCCAGGGACCCAUUGGGGGAACACUAUGUGAGUACCUGAA